rnacentral:rRNA from 1 species
CCUACGGGCGGCAGCAGUGGGGAAUAUUGCACAAUGGGGGAAACCCUGAUGCAGCGACGCCGCGUGAGUGAAGAAGUAUCUCGGUACGUAAAGCUCUAUCAGCAGGGAAGAAAAUGACGGUACUUGACUAAGAAGCCCCGGCUAACUACGUGCCAGCAGCCGCGGUAAUACGUAGGGGGCAAGCGUUAUCCGGAUUUACUGGGUGUAAAGGGAGCGUAGACGGCAGGACAAGUCUGGAGUGAAAUCCCGGGCCUUAACCCCGGAACUGCUUUGGAAACUGUGCGGCUGGAGUGCAGGAGGGGUAAGCGGAAUUCCUGGUGUAGCGGUGAAAUGCGUAGAUAUUAGGAGGAACACCGGUGGCGAAGGCGGCUUACUGGACUGUAACUGACGUUGAGGCUCGAAAGCGUGGGGAGCAAACAGGAUUAGAUACCCGUGUAGUC